rnacentral:tRNA from 1 species
GCCCCCGUAGCUCAAUUGGACAGAGCAUCGGACUUCUAAUCCGAGGGUUGAGGGUUCGAAUCCUUCCGGGGGCG